rnacentral:lncRNA from 1 species
AUGAGGGUGUAUGAACAUGAAGAAGCAUGGGCCUUGCAUGUCAGUAUUUUUAUGAUGCACAACAAGGGGUUAUUAAUUUUGCACACAACCCAUUUCUCAAUGUCAGUUUUCAUUCCAAUCCCCAAAACAGGCAAUGCCAAAGAAUGCUCAAACUACCGCACAAAUGCACUCAUCUCACACGCUAGUAAAGUAAUGCUCAAAAUUCUCCAAACCAGGCUUCUGCAAUACGUGAACCAUGAACUUCCAGAUGUUCAAGCUGGAUUUAGAAAAGGCAGAGGAACUAGAGAUCAAAUUGCAAACAUCCGCUGGAUCAUUGAAAAAGCAAGAGAGUUCCAGCAGGAGUUGGACUAUUUCUGCUUUAUUGACUAUGCCAAAGCCUUUGACUGUGUGGAUCACAAGAAACUGUGGAAAAUUCUGAAAGAGAUGGGAAUACCAGACCACCUGACCUGUCUCUUGAGAAAUCUGUAUGCAGGUCAGGAAGCAACAGUUAGAACUGGACAUGGAACAACAGACUGGUUCCAAAUAGGAAAAGGAGUACGUCAAGGCUGUAUAUUGUCACCCUGCUUAUUUAACUUAUACGCAGAGUACAUCAUGAGAAACACUGGGCUGGAAGAAGCACCAGCUGGAAUCAAGACUGCCGGGAAAAAUAUCAAUAACCUCAGAUAUGCAGAUGAUACAACCCUUAUGGCAGAAAGUGAAGAGGAACUAAAAAGCCUCUUGAAGAAAGUGAAAGAGGAGAGUGAAAAAGUUGGCUUAAAGCUCAACAUUCAGAAAACGAAGAUCAUGGCAUCUGGUCCCAUCACUUCAUGGGAAAUAGAUGGGGAAACAGUGGAAACUGUGUCAGACUUUAUUUUUUGGGGCUCCAAAAUCACUGCAGAUGGUGACUGCAGCCAUGAAAUUAAAAGAUGCUUACUCCUUGGAAGGAAUGUUAUGACCAACCUAGACAGCAUAUUAAAAAGUAGAGACAUUACUUUGUUAACAAAGGUCCGUCUAGUCAAGGCUAUGUUUUUUCCAGUGGUCAUGUAUAGAUGUGAGAUUUGGACUAUAAAGAAAGCUGAAUGCUGA